UACGGAAGGGGCAAGCGUUGUUCGGAAUCAUUGGGCGUAAAGGGCGCGUAGGUGGUUCUGUAUGUCUACCGUGAAAGCGUACGGCUCAACCGUAUUUUGUCGGUGGAAACUGCAGGACUUGAGGCUGGGAGGAGCUGGUGGAAUUCCCUGUGUAGCGGUGAAAUGCGUAGAGAUGGGGGAGAACACUCGUGGCGAAGGCGGCCAGCUAGACCAGUUCUGACACUGAGGCGCGACAGCGUGGGGAGCAAACAGG
rnacentral:rRNA from 1 species